rnacentral:rRNA from 1 species
UACGGAGGGUGCGAGCGUUGUCCGGAAUCAUUGGGCGUAAAGGGCGCGUAGGUGGCCCGGUCAGUCAGUGGUGAAAGCGCGGGGCUCAACUCCGCGUCGGCCAUUGAUACUGCUGGGCUUGAGCACUGUAGAGGCAGGCGGAAUUCCGGGUGUAGCGGUGGAAUGCGUAGAGAUCCGGAAGAACACCGGUGGCGAAGGCGGCCUGCUGGGCAGUAGCUGACACUGAGGCGCGACAGCGUGGGGGAGCAAACAGG